AACGAACGCUGGCGGCAGGCUUAACACAUGUAAGUCGAACGCCCCGCAAGGGGAGUGGCAGACGGGUGAGUAACGCGUGGGAACAUACCCUUUUCUACGGAAUAGCUCUGGGAAACUGGAAUUAAUACCGUAUACGCCCUACGGGGGAAAGAUUUAUCGGGGAAGGAUUGGCCCGCGUUGGAUUAGCUAGUUGGUGGGGUAAAGGCCUACCAAGGCGACGAUCCAUAGCUGGUCUGAGAGGAUGAUCAGCCACAUUGGGACUGAGACACGGCCCAAACUCCUACGGGAGGCAGCAGUGGGGAAUAUUGGACAAUGGGCGCAAGCCUGAUCCAGCCACGCCGCGUGAGUGAUGAAGGCCUUAGGGUUGUAAAGCUCUUUCACCGAUGAAGAUAAUGACGGUAGUCGGAGAAGAAGCCCCGGCUAACUUCGUGCCAGCCGCCGCUGUAAGAC
rnacentral:rRNA from 1 species